rnacentral:lncRNA from 1 species
GCAGUAAGAAUACUAGAAUCCAUUAGUAACUAGUAACCAUUAGUAACCAUAACCUACUGACUUUACUUUCCUCAGGUGUGUAUGUUUUGUUGUGUUUUAUUUUGAUGAUAAAGUUGCUUUUGGUAAAUCUUUGGUCAUUUCUUACCAGCUAAGAUACAUAAAGUCAAUAGGCACAUCUCAUUUUCUCAAAUUAUUUGAAGGAGCGCCAUUAACCUGUCACCUUCAUUAAUUUGCACUUUUAACAAAUACAGCUUUAGAGAGACAAAUAGAGCUGAUUUUUUCCUUUUUUCUUUUAGAAACAUAACUUAAAUUUUUAACUUUAUAGGAAACAGAAUUUAACACCCAGAUAGAAUAACCUGAAGCAUCUCUAAGAAGGAAUAUACAAAAUAAUCUGAAAAUGAAAUGAGAAUGGGAUUUAACUGAAAUGUCAUUUUCCCUCGUGUUCCUGGGAAUUGCUUCUUUUGGACUGAGAGCACAAGCACACCUCUUCAGCAGUUGAAAGCCUUUCA